rnacentral:rRNA from 1 species
UAAAGAACCCGGUGACAGGUGCUGCAUGGCUGUCGUCAGCUCGUGUCGUGAGAUGUUGGGUUAAGUCCGCAACGAGCGCAACCCUCGCCUUUAGUUGCCAGCAUUCAGUUGGGCACUCUAGAGGGACUGCCGGUGUCAAACCGGAGGAAGGUGGGGAUGACGUCAAGUCCUCAUGGCCUUUAUGUCUAGGGCUACACACGUACUACAAUGGCCGGUACAAAGGGCAGCCACUCAGCGAUGAGGCGCUAAUCCCAUAAAGCCGGUCUCAGUCCGGAUCGCAGUCUGCAACUCGACUGCGUGAAGUUGGAAUCGCUAGUAAUCGUAGAUCAGCAUGCUACGGUGAAUACGUUCCCGGGCCUU